AUUGAACGCUGGCGGCAUGCCUUACACAUGCAAGUCGAACGGUAACAGGUCUUCGGAUGCUGACGAGUGGCGAACGGGUGAGUAAUACAUCGGAACGUGCCCGAUCGUGGGGGAUAACGAAGCGAAAGCUUGGCUAAUACCGCAUACGAUCUACGGAUGAAAGCGGGGGAUCUUCGGACCUCGCGCGGCCGCAGCGGCCGAUGGCAGAUUAGGUAGUUGGGGGGAUAAAAGCUUACCAAGCCGACGAUCUGUAGCUGGUCUGAGAGGAUGAUCAGCCACACUGGGACUGAGACACGGCCCAGACUCCUACGGGAGGCAGCAGUGGGGAAUUUUGGACAAUGGGCGCAAGCCUGAUCCAGCCAUGCCGCGUGCAGGAUGAAGGCCUUCGGGUUGUAAACUGCUUUUGUACGGAACGAAAAGGUGCCUUCUAAUAAAGGGCGCUCAUGACGGUACCGUAAGAAUAAGCACCGGCUAACUACGUG
rnacentral:rRNA from 1 species